AGAGUUUGAUCCUGGCUCAGAUUGAACGCUGGCGGAAUGCUUUACACAUGCAAGUCGAACGGCAGCAUGGGAGCUUGCUCCUGGUGGCGAGUGGCGAACGGGUGAGUAAUAUACCGGAACAUAUCCUAUCGUGGGGGAUAACUAGUCGAAAGACUAGCUAAUACCGCAUACGUCCUGAGGGAGAAAGCGGGGGCUCGCAAGACCUCGCGCGAUUGGAGUGGCCGAUAUCUGAUUAGCUAGAUGGUGAGGUAAAGGCUCACCAUGGCUUCGAUCAGUAGCUGGUCUGAGAGGAUGAUCAGCCACACUGGGACUGAGACACGGACCAGACUCCUACGGGAGGCAGCAGUGAGGAAUAUUGCACAAUGGGGGGAACCCUGAUGCAGCAACGCCGCGUGGAGGAUGACGCAUUUCGGUGUGUAAACUCCUUUUAUAUGUCAAGAAAAUGACGGUAGCAUAUGAAUAAGCACCGGCUAACUCCGUGCCAGCAGCCGCGGUAAUAC
rnacentral:rRNA from 1 species